rnacentral:rRNA from 1 species
GACGAACGCUGGCGGCGUGCCUAAUACAUGCAAGUAGAACGCUGAAGGAGGAGCUUGCUUCUCCGGAUGAGUUGCGCACGGGUGAGUAACGCGUAGGUAACCUGCCUGGUAGCGGGGGAUAACUAUUGGAAACGAUAGCUAAUACCGCAUAACAGUAGAUAUUGCAUGAUAUCUGCUUGAAAGGUGCAAUUGCAUCACUACCAGAUGGACCUGCGUUGUAUUAGCUAGUUGGUGAGGUAACGGCUCACCAAGGCGACGAUACAUAGCCGACCUGAGAGGGUGAUCGGCCAACCUGGGACGGAGACACGGACCAGACUCCUACGGGAGGGAGCAGUAGGGAAUCUUCGGCAAUGGAGGGAAGUCUGACCGAGCAACGCCGAGUGAGGGAAGAAGGUUUUCGGAUCGUAAAGAUCUGUUGUAAGAGAAGAACGAGUGUGGGAGUGGAAAGUUCACACUGUGACGGUAUCUUACCAGAAAGCGACGGCUAACUACGUG